CUUGCUUCUCUUGAGAGCGGCGGACGGGUGAGUAAUGCCUAGGAAUCUGCCUGGUAGUGGGGGAUAACGUCCGGAAACGGACGCUAAUACCGCAUACGUCCUACGGGAGAAAGCAGGGGACCUUCGGGCCUUGCGCUAUCAGAUGAGCCUAGGUCGGAUUAGCUAGUUGGUGGGGUAAUGGCUCACCAAGGCGACGAUCCGUAACUGGUCUGAGAGGAUGAUCAGUCACACUGGAACUGAGACACGGUCCAGACUCCUACGGGAGGCAGCAGUGGGGAAUAUUGGACAAUGGGCGAAAGCCUGAUCCAGCCAUGCCGCGUGUGUGAAGAAGGUCUUCGGAUUGUAAAGCACUUUAAGUUGGGAGGAAGGGCAGUAAAUUAAUACUUUGCUGUUUUGACGUUACCGACAGAAUAAGCACCGGCUAACUCUGUGCCAGCAGCCGCGGUAAUACAGAGGGUGCAAGCGUUAAUCGGAAUUACUGGGCGUAAAGCGCGCGUAGGUGGUUCGUUAAGUUGGAUGUGAAAUCCCCGGGCUCAACCUGGGAACUGCAUUCAAAACUGACGAGCUAGAGUAUGGUAGAGGGUGGUGGAAUUUCCUGUGUAGCGGUG
rnacentral:rRNA from 1 species